rnacentral:misc_RNA from 1 species
GGCUUUGGCAAGAGUGCUUAAUUAGUCAUAUCAUCGUUUGAUUUACUUGAACACAAAACCUUAUAUCUUAAAUGCAUUUUCCCUGAAUUAUCAUUAAGCCAAAAGAGAACUGCUACAAAGUCCAAUGCUAACAAUACAACAAAAAUGAGAAGAACAUUAGAUGUUAAAAAACAUGCUGUUUAGUGAAUAAACUGCUUUAUUUUUUAAUCAUUUCCUAACACCUAGAAGUUAUUAGAUACCUUCAAUGAAAUGUUGAAAGUGCAUGAAAUUAACCUUGAAGCAAUAAAGAAAACCUCAAACUUGUACUCAAGCAUAUAGCACUUAACCAAGGUAUGAGAUUUCUCGACUUCCAAAAGAUUAUCUUUUCCCAAGUUUUGAAAGUCUAAUAAUUUCUUUGACUAUUAUUAAUUUUAAAUAUAAAGAAUUGUUCAAAUAAAAAAUAAAAAAAAGUGUAUAACGACAGUAAUACCCAUGUGUCGACAUCAGGGCAUAAUCAUGUGAUGCAAUCUUGAAAGGAAAUAGAUUUUGUCAUACUGUAAUCAGUACCUACUAAUUCUUUUCUCUUUUCCCAUCAUAAAUGGAAAAGCAAUGAUACAGAUUCGACGUGGCUACCAUAGAUGCAAAGAAUAUGAGAGGCGGAUGAAUAACACAAAGGCACAUUACGUUUCCUUUUGAAAAAAGAGCCACACAGUAUCGUAUUCUAAAGAUGAGUAGAAAACAGAAAAUCAUUGAUUCACAAAUUGCUUGGAUUGGAUGACACAAUAACAGGAACAGUAACAUCUCCAACAAAAGUAAUCAGCUUAAGUUUACUGUAAAAG